ACAUUCUAACAAAAAGCCUAACCAUAUUUACUCAAGAUACACCACACACUUAACCAAAACAUUUGACAAAACUAGUAUAUGAGAUAUGAAAAUUAUGCCUUAGCGCACUAAUACCGUAAGGGAAGAAAGAAAUGAAUAUUAAAUUUUAAAAGCAAAAAAGCAGAGAUUAUAUCACGUACCUAUUGCAUCUAUGGUUUAACAAGACAAAAUAGACAAAGAGCCACUGCCUUAAGCCUAAAACUCCCGAAAUCAAGUGAGCUACCCCAGACCAACUUUUAAGAGUCAACCCGUCACUGUAGUCAAAAGUGUGGGAAGAGUUUGAGGUAGUGGUGAAAAGCCAAACGAACUUGACAAUAGCUUGGUUGUCCGACAAACGAAUAUAAGUUCAACCCUAAAUACAGCACAUAACCACCUUAUAGCCAAAUUUAUUUAGGUCUUAGUCCCUGGGGGCACAGCUCCAGGGACCAAGGAUUACAACCUUAUUUAGUGACAAACCCCUUACUUUUUCCCCACAGUAGGCCUCAAAUGCAGCCAACAAAACCCCAAUGCGUUAAAGCAAUAAAGCCCCACAAUACCAAACAUCACAUGAACUCCUAACCCCCAUCGGACUACUCUAUAUAAUAGAGACAAGUCAUGUUAAAACUAGUAAUAAGAAAUAUUCUCUUUACACAAGUAAAAAUUAAUCAGACACAACAAUGCCCCAAAAACACCAAACUCCUUAACCCAACCAAACUGUUAACUCCAACUCAGGAGUGUAAAUAGAAGAUUAAAAGCUGCAAAAGGAACUCGGCAACAUUAAAUCUCAACUGUUUACCAAAAACAUAGCCUUUAGCAAACUAAGUAUUAAAGGUGAUCGCCUGCCCAGUGACUAGUUCAACGGCCGCGGGAUCCUCCACCGUGCAAAGGUAGCAUAUAUCACCUGUCUCCUAAAUAGAGACUAGUAUGAAUGGCCAAAUGAAGAUUUUUCUGUCUCUUUGCAGCCGAUCUAUUAAACUGAUCUUUCAGUACAAAAGCUGAAAUUAAGACACUAAGACGAAAAGACCCUGUGGAACUUAAAGCCCUCGGCCAACAAAAUGGACCACCUGCUUUUAGUUGGGGCAACUUUGGAAAAAAACAAAACUUCCAAUCACCUAUCAAGGCAUGACAUGCCAACAAACAAAACAAAUGACCCAGUACUACUGAAUAAAGGUAAAAAGCUACCCCAGGGAUAACAGCGCCAUCCCCUCAUAGAGCCCCAAUCGACGAGCGGGUGUUUACGACCUCGAU
rnacentral:rRNA from 1 species